CAGUAGCCACGGUAAUACGAGGGGGGCAAGCGUUGUUCGGAAUUAUUGGGCGUAAAGGGUGCGUAGGCGGUUUGGCAAGUUUGGUGUGAAAUCUUCGGGCUCAACUCGAAGUCUGCAUCGAAAACUGCCGGGCUUGAGUAUGGGAGAGGUGAGUGGAAUUUCCGGUGUAGCGGUGAAAUGCGUAGAUAUCGGAAGGAACACCUGUGGCGAAAGCGGCUCACUGGACCAUAACUGACGCUGAUGCACGAAAGCUAGGGGAGCAAACAGGAUUAGAUACCCCAGUAGUCCCUGUCUCUUAUAC
rnacentral:rRNA from 1 species